AGCAGCGUGGCUCAGUGGAAAGAGCCCGGGCUUGGGAUACAGAGGUCAUGGGUUCGAAUCCCAGCUCUGCCA
rnacentral:tRNA from 1 species